GAUGAACGCUGGCGGCGUGCCUAAUACAUGCAAGUCGAGCGAACAGAUGAGGAGCUUGCUCCUCUGACGUUAGCGGCGGACCGGUGAGUAACACGUGGAUAACCUACCUAUAAGACUGGGAUAACUUCGGGAAACCGGAGCUAAUACCGGAUAAUAUAUUGAACCGCAUGGUUCAAUAGUGAAAGACGGUUUUGCUGUCACUUAUAGAUGGAUCCGCGCCGCAUUAGCUAGUUGGUAAGGUAACGGCUUACCAAGGCGACGAUGCGUAGCCGACCUGAGAGGGUGAUCGGCCACACUGGAACUGAGACACGGUCCAGACUCCUACGGGAGGCAGCAGUAGGGAAUCUUCCGCAAUGGGCGAAAGCUUGACGGAGCAACGCCGCGUGAGUGAUGAAGGUCUUCGGAUCGUAAAACUCUGUUAUUAGGGAAGAACAAAUGUGUAAGUAACUAUGCACGUCUUGACGGCACCUAAUCAGAAAGCCACGGCUAACUACGUG
rnacentral:rRNA from 1 species